rnacentral:misc_RNA from 1 species
GAUGAAUUGGGUAGCACUUGAGGACACAUGCGUGGUUCUAGUUCUCUUAUUCUUCAGACUUGAGAGUACUUUUAACAUACAGCCCAAUUGCCAAAACCAAAAAUCCAGCUGCCACAACCAAUUUCGUUGAUUUUUUUGGCUUCUUCAUUUCUGUUUCCAUGUCACUUGUGCUUGUCAUUUUUCCUGCUUCAAUCAAGCCCUCACUCUUUUUGUCCUCCAAAGUCUUUCCUGGAACAUUAUUUGCAACAGUUUCUGAAGAACUAUUCUUCCCACUGGC